UUCCCUUUCUGUAAAAUAUCUAGACAGGAAGGAGGUGGCUGCAGAAGCUGAACAAACACUCUCAUAUUCUGCCUGCAAUGUCAUCGUUCUUUCUCCCAUUUUAGGGGGGUGAAGUUGCCAAGGAAGGGAUGCAGAGGAGCUGAAAAGGAAGGGGGGGUUCUCCAGAGGCUGCUGCGGUCAGGGGCAGGGACUGCCACCAGAUGUGCCUGCUUUUCUGGGCUUUGAUUCGAAAAGGACAGCAGGAGGAAAUAUUGAGAGACAAAAGCCUCAGUUUAAAUGAUCAUUUUCUUUAUUUAAUAUGGCAGCAGACACUCUCAGCGUAGGAUCAUCGUGCCGAGCAUAAACUGGACUUUCCUACUUGCCUGACAGGAGUCAGACAGAUCCCUGUUUGCCAAAUGAACAUCUAAGAUGUCCUUGGUGAGUGUCCUCCUGUGGAAUGUGGUUCAUCUCCAAUCUAGCAGAAGACAUCAAAGAUGAUUCUGAGUACAUUAUGUCCUGGGCUUCUGCAAAAGCUGUUUAAUUUUUUUGGUGGAUUACAAUGAAAGAUUUAUGAAUGUUGAACCAGCCCUGUAUCUCUGGGAUGAAGCUUACUUGAACAUUUUGGAUGGUAUUUUGAUGGUGUUCUUGAAUU